rnacentral:rRNA from 1 species
UACGAAGGGAGCUAGCGUUGUUCGGAAUCACUGGGCGUAAAGCGCACGUAGGCGGAUGUGUCAGUCAGGGGUGAAAUCCUGGAGCUCAACUCCAGAACUGCCUUCGAUACUGGGAAGCUUGAGUUCGGGAGAGGUGAGUGGAACUGCGAGUGUAGAGGUGAAAUUCGUAGAUAUUCGCAAGAACACCAGUGGCGAAGGCGGCUCACUGGCCCGAUACUGACGCUGAGGUGCGAAAGCGUGGGGAGCGAUCCGG